rnacentral:rRNA from 1 species
CCUACGGGAGGCAGCAGUGGGGAAUCUUGCGCAAUGGGCGAAAGCCUGACGCAGCAACGCCGCGUGCGGGAAGAAGGCCUUCGGGUUGUAAACCGCUUUCAGAAGGAACGAAAAUGACGGUACUUUCAGAAGAAGGUGCGGCCAACUACGUGCCAGCAGCCGCGGUGACACGUAGGCACCAAGCGUUGUCCGGAUUUAUUGGGCGUAAAGAGCUCGUAGGCGGUUCGGUAAGUCGGGUGUGAAAACUUUGGGCUCAACCCAAAGCGUGCAUUCGAUACUGUCGUGACUAGAGUUCGGUAGGGGAGCGGGGAAUUCCUAGUGUAGCGGUGAAAUGCGCAGAUAUUAGGAGGAACACCGGUGGCGAAGGCGCCGCUCUGGGCCGAAACUGACGCUGAGGAGCGAAAGCGUGGGUAGCAAACAGGAUUAGAUACCCUGGUAGUCCACGCCGUAAACGUUGGGCACUAGGUGUGGGUCUCAACCAACGAGAUCCGCGCCGUCGCAAACGCAUUAAGUGCCCCGCCUGGGGAGUACGGCCGCAAGGUUAAACCUCAAAGGAAUUGACGG